UGGUGAGGGGUUCCGCCUGUUGAUGGUGAAUGGCUGGAGGGCUCCGCCUGUUGGUGGUGAAUGCAUGGAGGGCUCUGCCUGUUGGUGGUCAGAGUUGGGAGGGCUCUGCCUGUUGGUGGUGAAUGUCUGGAGGGCUCCGCCUGUUGGUGGUGAGAGCUGGGAGGGUUCCGCCUGUUGGUGGUGAAUGCCUGGAGAGCUCCGCUUGUUGGUGGUGAAUGCCUGGAAGGCUCCGCCUGUUGGUGGUGAAUGCCUGGAAGGCUCCGCCUGUUGGUGGUGAGAGCUGGGAGGUUCGUGGUGAGGGGUUCUACCUGUUGGUGGUGAGAGCUUGGAGGGCUCCGCCUGUUGGUGGUGAAUGCAUGGAGGGCUCUGCCUGUUGAUGGUGAGAGCUGGGAGGGCUCCGCCUGUUGGUGGUGAGAGCUGGGAGGUUCGUGGUGAGGGGUUCCACCCGUUGGUGGUGAGUGCCAGGGUGUUCGUGGUGAGCGCUGCCGCCUGUUGGUGGUGAGAGCUGGGAUGGCUGGCGCCUGUUGGUGGUGAAUGCCUGGAGGGCUCCGCCUGUUGGUGGUGAGAGCUGGGAGGGCUCUGCCUGUUGGUGGUGAAUGUCCGGAGGGCUCUGCCUGUUGGUGAUGAGAGCUGGGAGGUUCAUGGUGAGGGGUUCCGCCUGUUGGUGGCGAGCAGUCAGAGCUGAGAGGGCUCCGCCUGUUGGUGGUGAGCACCAGGAGGUUCGUGGUGAGGGGUUCCACCUGUUGGCGGUCGGAGCUGGGAGGGCUCCGCCUGUUGGUGGUGAGAGCUGGGAGGUUCGUGGUGAGAGCUGGGAGGUUCAUGGUGAGGGGUUCCACCUGUUGGUGGUCAGAGCUGGGAGGGCUC
rnacentral:lncRNA from 1 species